rnacentral:lncRNA from 1 species
AAUCAUUAAUUAAACCUCUCAUAAAUACUGAGUCCAAAUCCGAUGGGCAAUCGGGCAUCAAAAUUCAUCGAUAUGUAACCCUGAUCGAAAAGUCCCAACCAGUGGGACUCUUGACCCCGAUACCCAUAAUGUGUGGAACUCAUGAUCAGAGAAUCCUGAUUUUCGAUCACUGAGUUUCAAAUAUGUAGGAUUCUACAUCAGCCAUCAGAUCAGAUAAGAACCUCUAAUGUGUGUGACCCCGCAGGUUUGAACCUAAGCCGGUAGCACAGGAACCAAUUC